CCUACGGGUGGCUGCAGUGGGGAAUAUUUGGCAAUGGGCGCAAGCCUGACCCAGCAACGCCGCGUGAAGGAAGAAGGCUUUCGGGUUGUAAACUUCCUUUCUGAGGGACGAAGAAAGUGACGGUACCUCAGGAAUAAGCCACGGCUAAUUACGCUCCAGCAGCCGCGGCAAUACGAAGGUGGUAAGCGUUAUACGGAAUUAUCGGGUGGAAAGGGCGUGUAGGCGGGAAAGCAAGUAGGAUGUGAAAACUGCGGGCGCAACCCUUGGCCUGCAUUUGAAACUGUGUUUCUUGAGUGCUGGAGAGGCAAUCGGAAUUCUGGGUGUAGCAGUGAAAUGCGUAGAUAUACGGAGGAACACCAGUGGCGAAGGCGGAUUGCUGGACAGUAACUGACGCUGAGGCGCGAAAGCGUGGGGAGCGAACAGGAUUAGAUACCCGAGUAGUC
rnacentral:rRNA from 1 species